AGGACGAACGCUGGCGGCGUGCUUAACACAUGCAAGUCGAGCGGUAAGGCCCUUCGGGGUACACGAGCGGCGAACGGGUGAGUAACACGUGGGUGAUCUGCCUCGCACUUCGGGAUAAGCCUGGGAAACUGGGUCUAAUACCGGAUAUGACCAGGGACUGCAUGGUUUUUGGUGGAAAGAUUUAUCGGUGCGAGAUGGGCCCGCGGCCUAUCAGCUUGUUGGUGGGGUAAUGGCCUACCAAGGCGACGACGGGUAGCCGGCCUGAGAGGGCGACCGGCCACACUGGGACAGAGACACGGCCCAGACUCCUACGGGAGGCAGCAGUGGGGAAUAUUGCACAAUGGGCGAAAGCCUGAUGCAGCGACGCCGCGUGAGGGAUGACGGCCUUCGGGUUGUAAACCUCUUUCGACAGGGACGAAGCGCAAGUGACGGUACCUGUAGAAGAAGCACCGGCCAACUACGUGCCAGCAGCCGCGGUAAUACGUAGGGUGCGAGCGUUGUCCGGAAUUACUGGGCGUAAAGAGCUUGUAGGCGGUUUGUCGCGUCGUCUGUGAAAAACUCACAGCUCAACUGUGAGCUUGCAGGCGAUACGGGCAGACUUGAGUACUGCAGGGGAGACUGGAAUUCCUGGUGUAGCGGUGAAAUGCGCAUAUAUCAGGAGGAACACCGGUGGCGAAGGCGGG
rnacentral:rRNA from 1 species